rnacentral:lncRNA from 1 species
UAUGUAUAUAUGUGUGUAGAGCGAGGCUACUAUACUCUUAUGAGUAUAGAGCCCUUCAUACUCAUAAGUUAUUUUCAAUGAUGAAGCUAAUCGACGAUCCACACUGUUAAAUAUGAUCUAGAUUAUUUGAAACUUCUAGAAAAUGAAUUUCGUAAUUUUUCAAAAUUAUAAUAAAGUCCAUCAAACGGGCAUAAAAUGAACGGUCAAAAUUGAACGAUUUUCUAAAAAUGGGUAAUUAGAUACUUCAAUUUAAGAUCGGAAUUAUUGAUCUUUAUCUAGAUAGUCAAUAGAAUUUUCUAUCAAAAAUUCAAUCCAUUUAAAUUCUUUUACGCCGUUAAACUAGCAAGUAUUUCAUAUCGGCUGUUUAAAACUGUCAAUUUUGAGAUCUUUUGAUUGUAAGGUAAAUGAUAUCAAAAAAUUACGAAAUUUGAUUUCUAAAAGUCUUACAUGCUCUAAAUAAUAUUUAAUGGUAUGGAUCGUCGAUUCGAAAGCUUUAUCAUUGAAAACGACUUAUAAUUACAAAGGGCUCAAUACUCAUAAGAAUAUAGUAGCCGGACUCCUGUGCGUAUGUGUGUGUGUGUGUGUACAUGCACUUCCUACAAUGAGGUCAGCAAAGAAAAAAGUUCAUGAUGGAUGAAAAUAAACAAUAGUUGAACUUCAACAAGCAAAGGUCAAUCAAAGAAACUAUUCAUGCCAUCAAGCUGAGGAAAUUACUUUUAUGCAAGAAAAAAGCAGAACAUAACGUGCAAGUUAUACCCCUUUGAUCCACAGUGCAGUUUCAUAAUCCGUGUGUUAUACUUGAAAUCCAUCCCAAUAGCUCUCGGAACAUUCUUAUUAGUAUAGUUAUGUGGGAAAAUACUAAGAAUUUUUUGAACUAAUAUUUUUUUUUUGUUUAUUUCUGUACCAAAACUGCUCAUUUAUACGACAUAAAAGUUCAAGUUCAAGGCUAACUAACAGAAGUAUGUUUUCAGAAGCAUCUCAAUUGUUAAGCCAAUUCGAGAAUGCUACAAAAUCAUCCAAUCCUUUUGCACACUAUUACCGGUAAGAAAAAUAUGAAAAUUCAUUGUGUGCUUCAAUGGGCCAGACACAUCUCCAAAAAUGGCCUUAAAUAAAGAAGUACAUGAUUUAGCAGAUCAAUCUGAUCCCAAUCUUUAAGACCACCGAAGUUUAAUCCUGACUCUGCUCACAUAAAUGUUAGAAAGUUGAAUUGGGGCCCUGUUUUUUUUUUUUAUAAAGGUUGAAGAAUAACGUAGCUUGGACUAUGAUUGGGUUUAAGUCAUAAGGCAUCUUUUUUUUUUAGAGAGAAGGGUAGCAAGCUACCAAUUUCAUUCAUUUUUUUAGAAAUAAACUCAACUAGAAAUAUAAAGCAACUGGGGUUCAAAUUUGCGACCUCGAGUACCAACCAUCAACCCGUGAGCCGACCACACAACACAUGGUUGGCCAUAAGGCAACUUUUCAAUCUUGGAGGGCAUCUACAGUUAAUGCUAAAUGCUAUAAGAUCAUAGGAAAGGUCAUACAAGUUUCCACUCCACAUCAUUAUCACAUAAAUGAAGGUAACAAAAAGACAUGACUUCUUGAGGCAAUCUUGGCAAAUAAAAUCCUGAGUGCAGGGAAUCGAUUGAACCAGACAAAAUUAGACCCUUUUCCAAAAGUCAAGUGCAUACAAUUAUGAGCCCCAACAAAUUCCUUUGGAUGCCUUAGAAACAGAGAAUCAAAAUCUCACUAAGCCUACCAUGUUUCCACACUAUGAUGAUCAAACACAGAGGCAUCGCAAAGAGGACAUUUUCGUCUAAAAUGGCAUGAGAUAUGUCGGUUCGUUCUCUAAACAGUAACUACAAGCCAACGUUACAGAAACUUGGAAAGCUCUAAUCCACACUUCCUCAAACCAAAAGGACCAACAUAAUAACGGUAUGAGAGCCAUGGUUCAAAAAAGACGGUACUAUAAAAUAGUGAAUCAAUAAAUCUUGUUGGUACUUCUCAAAGCAAACAGUGAUUACAAUAAUUGAGAGCAUGAGAAUUACAGCCAACUUACAAAACCAAAAAUCCUAAGCCCAACUCCUGCAAUAAAUACCCUAACACCUUUCUCAUGAUUGUUAGAAAUUUACACAUUAAUUAAUAGAUAUUAAUAGGCCCAAACCAAAUAAGUUUAUGCAUUCAGAGACAUGUCACAUCCUUAGAUUUAUUUGGAUCUAUCCUGUGUCGAAACUCCCUACCAAUGAAUUAAGAGGACUUCUCAUCAAAUGCCAAUAGAGAUAUCUAUAUAGAUACCAAAAAGCAAAUUGAUGUGCUUAAUUCUCUUAAAUCCAAUACGAAAUCAACAACAUUUAUAAUCACUACUAUGAAGUAGAAGAACCCAAAUCUAGCUAAAAAUAUGAAAUCUCCAAAUAUUUCCUUAAUUAUACCCUAAUAUUUCACCCUCGGAUCAAAGAUCGAAUUAUUCCUACAUGAAGUGUGGAUUGAAAAAGAACGAAACAACAAAAAACAAACAAACAAAAUAAAAAUAAAAAAUCGGUGGCAUACAUGUAGAGAGGAUCAGCUUCGCCCUCGCUAGCGCGAAUGGCUCCGAAGGCGCAUCCGAGAACGAAGAGAAGCAACAGCGAGCGCUCCCCCAUGGCGUUCAAAUGCGGAGAUGCUCCUCUCUACGAUGAGAUGAAAUCCAUUACCGGAGCGAGAACCCUAAUCGAAAUCGCCGCGAAGAGGAGGGAGACGAAGAGAAGAUCGAGGGGAGAGCUCGUUAAGGGUUUUUAGAGAUUUGGGGGAUUACUGAGUGAGGGGGGAGACUCGAUGAGAAUGAAGAGGAUGGGGCAUAUCGACAGGACCUUGUAUAAUAAGAAAGAACUGAAAAAUAUAUGAAGACCCCCUCAACUACAAAAUAUUUGGAAAUGAGACCUUCAACUUUCCUACCUGUAUACACGAAAAGUGAAUACAAAUUUUGGCUAAUAUUUUAUAAUUAUCUUAUCAACUUUAUUUUUUCUAAAUAAUUAAAAAUUUUUAGAAAUUUAUUUAGGAUGUAAAAUGUAUAUCAACUUUUUACGCAUAGAGAUAGUAUUUUCUUUAUUUUGUUGACACUUUUUUAUCUUUCAUAUUUUGAAGAUUAAUUUUUUCAUUAUAAUUAAUUAAGAUAAAGUUUUUUGUUGAUUUUGUGAUUUAAUUAGUUAUUACUAGCUAAUCAAUCUAGUUUUAUUUGUCACAAAGUUAUUUAAACUAUUAAAUUUGGAUUAAAUUGGUAGAAAUUUUAAAUUAUUUGGCUAAAAUUGCUUAAUCUUUUAAAAAAUGAAUUUAAUAUUGUUUAGGGGGGUCUCCACAUAUUUCCUACCAAUAUUUCUUUUUUGAACUAUAACAUACAUUCCAUUUUAAAUCCAAUCCGUUAAAAAUAUAUAUAUAUUAUAUUUUAAUCUUAUUUAAAAUAUGUUGAAAUUAAAUAGGUAUUUUUCAUAUUAAUAAAAAGGUCGCAUUGAAACUAUUUUUUAUGGUAAAAAACUAAAACAUAAUAUGCGCAAAAACUUAUAAAAAUAAAAUAUUCACAUGGCUAGCACUCUCACUCUCCCCGAGUUUAAGUUUCACGAGCGUAGAAGUUAGUUCAAAAAAAUAAUUUUUACGUAGUUGUAAUAUCAACAUAUGUUAGGGACUAUUCAUAAAUUUUACCCUGCCUCCGUUUUGGUCCUUUUUGUUAAGAAAAAAUUUCCUUUACUUUUUAUUUUUUGGCUCCAUUAUUUAGAACCGCGAGACGCGUGGAGAGUUAUUUAUUGUAUUUUAUUUACUUAUUUAUUUAUUUAUUCCGAUUUAAAUGUUUUAUUAAAGUGCACGCACUUUCACCGACACCCACUUCUGAGCCUUUAAUAAUGUCAGAGAGUGUUGUUAGUGUUAGUACUACUCAGUAUUUUUGUGUGGUAAGAGAUGUGCUUUUUAUUAAUUAAAUAUUUAUAUAAUAUUAUUAAAUAAUAUAUAUAUAUAUAUAUAUAUAUAUAUAUAUAUAUAUAUAUAUAUAUAUAUAUAUAUAUUAGUGUUAGGAGUUUUAUGAUUUUAGAAUUGCUGCUCGAUUUAAGGGUUAUUUACGGGAGUACCCUCCCCAGUUCCCGGGACCACAAGAGAUAUUUAAUUGUAUCUCAAGUACACCAACGUAAACGGCCAGUGGUUGCGUGGACCCGGUGCACCACAUCAACAAUGUGUAAAUUAUAAAUAUCCCGGACGCUUGGGUUCUCGUUUUAAUUAUUUUCUUACAUAACACUUUGCUUCGGGCUAAACUCUACACUUCGUAAUUACGUCAAAUAAGCAAAAAAAUUUUUAUGGUUGCUAAAUUUGGGUGUAAAACUAUAUGAAAAUUAUCACGUGAAUCAAAUAAAAUAGUCUAUAAAUGGUCAAAAAAUUUGUUUUGUUGAAUUUAGAUCAUUAUAUAGCUUAUAAUUUAAUGUGGCAUGUUAAAUUAUUCCAAUAGACGAUGACAUUCAAUNUUCGACAUAGUUUACUUUAUGAUCAAAUUAUUUCAAAAUUGUCAAUUUUUAAUGACUACUAUGGCGAAUUUGGAGUUCAACGGUGUAGAAGAAUCUAAAUUUUUUUUCAAAUUUUGAUAGAAAAUACUUUAAACUAUCUAGAUUAAGGUUAAUAUUUUUUGAUCUUGAAUUUAAAAGUCAUAUACUCAAAUUUUAAAGAUUAUUCAAUUUUCACCAUCCAUUUUGACAUAAUUUAUUUACUAAGUAAACGAUGUCGAAAAAAAUUAAAAUUUUAUUCCUAAGAACUUCAUAUACCCUAGAUCAUAUUUAACGGUGUGGAUCGUUAAUUUGAAUACCUUAAAAUCGAAAAAAAGACUAUAGUACCGGAGCUCCGGUACCAUAGAUAGCAUAGUAGCUUAAUUAUAUAUAUAUAUAUAUAUAUAUAUUAGUGUUUAGAGUUUUAUGAUUUUAGAAAUUGGUGCUCGAUUUAAGGGUUAUUUACGGGAGUACCCUCCCCAGUUCCCGGGACCACAAGAGAUAUUUAAUUGUAUCUCAAGUACACCAUCUUAAACGGCCAGUGGUUGCAUGGACCCGGUGCACCACAUCAACAAUGUGUAAAUUAUAAAUACCCCGGACGCUUUGGUUCUCGUUUUAAUUAUUUUCUUACAUAACAUUUUGCUUCAGGCUAAACUCUACACUUCGUAAUUAAUUCAAAUAAGCAAAAAAUUUUUAUGGUCGCUAAAUUUGGGUGUAAAACUAUAUGAAAAUUAUCACGUGAAUCAAGUAAAAUAGUCUAUAAAUGGUCAAAAAAUUUGUUUUAUUGAACUUAGAUCAUUAUAUAGCUUAUAAUUUAAUAUGGUAUGUUAAAUUAUUCCAAUAGACGAUGACAUUCAAUAGUCCCAUAUCGAAUGAAAAUAAAAUUUUAAUUAAUUAUAUAAGAGACUAUAUAUCCUACUAAUAAUAGCUGAAUUUAAUAAUUUAAGACCCAUGGUUAGUCCCCAAAUAAGUUAUUAUUGUUACUGGAUAUCGUCUGAAAUUUAAUAAUCGUUUCAAAUAUUCAGAUUUGUUUGAAAUAGUGGUAAACUUCAAAGUUCAAAUCAAAAGUAAUUGAGAUGCUUAAAGUACAAGAUAGGGCUAUGUAAUUCCGAAAAUUUUAUUAUAUAUUUCUAAACUAUCUAUUUAAAGAAAAAUAAGUAAUAAAUACGAUAAUAUUGUAUUAUAUCAUUAUGCUUAGAAGUAUAUUUAAAAUUUUUUGAAUAGUUUAUUUUGUAAAUUUUUUACUGUUUUCAAUGAGUAUAUAUUAACCAAUUUAUUAUAAUAUAUUAUAAUAUAUAUAUAUANAAUAUAAUAUAAUAUAAUAUAUAUAUAUAUAUAAUAUUAUAUAAUAUUUUUUAAAAAUAAAUUAAAUUAUUUGGUUUAUUCUGUGAAUCCAAUGGGAACCUUAGAAGCUCGGUUUACGGCGAACCGGGUUCAGCGCACAAUUGCUCGGCGCGAAAAAGGGACGCGUGGAUAGCGGCUUUAAAGUGGGGCCCACCGAGGACACGUGGCAUAAAAGAGCAACGUGUGGUGGGACCCAUCUAAGCACAUGGCCUUUUGAAGUACCGGUAAUGAUAUAUCGUAUUUGUGAAACGCGUGAGUGGUAGUUGUUCCGUGAAAAUACUUCGACAACGAUAUGUAACUUUUGCGGGAAAAAGUUACAUGUAACCCCGUGCCCACUAAAUUUUAAAAAUAAUUAAUUAGCUAUAAUAAUGUUAAAAUAUACUGUAAUUAAUCAAAAUUUUAUUUAUUUAUAAAUUAUUGAUAGUUGUAUUUGCUAUUUAUUAUUGAGUUAAAAUAUGUCUAACAUUUUGUUUUAUAGUGCGGCUCACAAAAGAUCUAACGGCAAAAGACCUAACUAUAUUGAAUCAGGUUGAAACCAUAAAGCAUUAUGGUUGAGCCCUUAAGUGCAAUGGCUGCACCUUUUCUAUCAGCGCGUCUUUUUGAGAUAAUUGGUUAGCGUUUACGAUCCACAAAUUGCUCGAACUUCUAAAAUUUUAUAAUUAUUGUACAAUAUUUUGUGAGAAUUUAUAAUUGAUCAAAUUCAUAUUUUAUCAAGUUAAACUGAUUAAAAUUACUCAUUAAUCAAAAAAAAAGUAAAGAAUAAUACAUGCUACCAAUUUAGAUGAGUCAUUUAAAUGUCAAAAUUUUUUUGGUGAAUAAAAUUAGUCAUAAUUAUCCUAUUUCAUUUGUAAAACUCAAAUGCUAAAAUCUACAAAUUUAGAUGAGUCCUCUCAAUGUCAAAAAUUAUUUUGGUGGAUAAAAUUAGCCAUAAUUGGUCAAUUUAAAUUAAAAUUAGCCUCUCAAUUAAAAUUAUUUUUAAUUUGUAGAGCUCAAAUACUAAUAUCUAGUUUUAUGCUGUAAAACUGAAUUUUGACGUCAAAAUAAUUCUUUCGAAUUGCCAGCAUAUACUUUUUAUUAUUUUUUUAUCAUUUGGCUAAAAUUAGUCAAUCGAAAUUAUAUAAAUGUAAAUUUUGAUUCUCAGCUGCAAAACUUUGAAAAUUUACAUGAAAAAUAUAGAAUUUUGAAAGCUUGAGUCGCUACUUGAACAAGCAAGAGUUUGGAUUACUGUAAAUAAUAUUGUUAAUCUCCAAAUUUUUAACAAAAUCUUAUUUUAAUUAACCGUUGAAUUCCAAUUUGUUAUAUUAUUUAAAUUGGUUUAAGUGUAUAGAUGGUGUUUUUCGUUUCCAAAUUAUUAGUAUUCUACCUUAUAUUAUUUGCGGAGAUUAUUUUAAUUAUUACAUUAGAAAUCACAUGGCCUUGAAACAAUAAAUUAACAGUCAUGGUCACCUUUAAAAAGUAAUAUAAUAAUUAUGUUUAGCUAUUUCGUUGUCACUUUAAUUAAAAAUUAUAUAAAUUUUUAUAAGAGAACUUGAUAAUAAUAAAAAGCUAAAUUUAGGCCUCCUAAGGUAUUAUUAUUCAUUUUUAUUUUUAUAUAUAUAUUUUUUAUAUGAAAUAAUAUAUUAGAAAAUGACAGUUUGCUUUUAUUCCUGAUAUUUAUGAUAUUUAUUUGACAAUAAAAAAAUGUGGACGUACAUAACUUUUCUCUACUUCUAUUUUUUAAGCAAAUUUUUAUUCAUUACUUGCCCGGAUUUAUUGCGAACUAACAAACCGUGAAGAGAAGAUAGAAUUUCUUUUGUUAAUAUAUCAAAGUGUAUAAAAUUAGAAUUUUAAAAAAGGUAAACUUUAAUUUUCUUUCGUGUGAUUUAGCUAAUUUUUACUUUACCACUAUGUGAUUUAAAAAAAUAUGACUAUCUCGUUGUUUUAUUUUUAUUUUAUCAAAAAAAAAAAUACUACCAAAUAGGAGAAUAAAAUGAUUUUUUUUUAAAAAAAACUAGAUGAUAGUUAAAAAUCUCGAAGUCCAUUCAAAGCUGAAGUGUUUGAAUCUUUCAGUAAAAGUCCAUAGCUUCGUAAUUAUUGUUCGAGCUUUAGAUGUUAGCGAAUCUGAAUGAUAACUCUUGAGGUGUUAAGCUUUAAUGAUGAAGGCUGAAUCUGAGAAGAUAUGAAAAAUUUUUUCAGAAUACAUUUGCAAAAGAAGCUCUAUCGGUGGGGAGAUUGCUCUAAUUUUCGUGAAGCAAGUAUCGUGGACUACCUGUAUUGUGUCAAAUAUGCACGCUAUGGUUCCAUGUUGAUUAGUAAUCAGGCAUCGUGGAUUUUCAGAUCAGAGUUGGGUCCUGGAUGCUGAUUCUUGUCAUGUUCUAGUUGGAAUAUAAGGCCAUCCAACUGCGAGCCCUUGAAAUGAUAUUAAUGAUUAAGAAAUUCUUCCUCUCAAAAAUCACUUUAUACUGACUAUGGCCCUGUUUGGCUUAGCUUCUGAAAAAGUGAUUUCUGAAAAAGUGAUUUUAGUUUGGAAAAGUGAUUUCUGUUAAAAGCUGUAGAGCGUUUGGCUGAGUCUGAUAGAAAAGUGAUUAUGCUGAAGUGAUUUUAGAAAGCUGUUUGGCAAAUUUUUUUACUGAAGUGAUUUUGUAAUGUUAUUUAACAUUAGUUUUUUUUAUAGACACAAUACAGUAAUUCAAAUCCUCAACCUUAAUUUAGUUUCAGAAAAUCCAUAUAUUAAUCUUGUGGAGAACCCUAUAAUGCCAUUGUUGUUCUUUUUUUAACUUAAAGAUCAUGCUCAUUUCUGAUAAUUAACAUGCCUGCUAAAGGUAGAGAUCAUGUAUUCGAUUCUUCAUAAUUUUUGGGAUAUUUUGGAAACUAUUAUGAGGGAUUAAACUUUUCACAAGCUUCAUGUGAGAUGGACCCAUCGGCGCUGAUCCGGCCAAGUCGGCGGGAUCCAUCUUUGCCGGAUCUUGCCGGCGUGAUCCAUGCCCAGAUCCGGCUCAAAGGCGGAUCCGAGGCUGGAUCCGGCAAAGCCGGAGCUCGCCAGCGCGGAUCCGGCCAAGCCGGCGGGAUCCGUCUUUGCCGGAUCACGCCGACGCGGAUCUGGGGCCGGAUCUGGGGCCGGGCGCGGAUUAAGGAGAGAAAUCAAGAGAGAGAGGGAGAUAAAUCCACAUGAAAAAAAAAACUCUUCUUGGAAAAAAAAAAGGGAGUAUCUUGGAGGGUUGCCGGAGAAAAAACUCGCCGGUAGAAAAGGCGUCGCCGGAGAGGAUAAAGGGAGAGAGAUGAAGAAGACAGGAGAGGAGAGUGAUUAGAUAAAGAAGAGAGGAGAGGAGAGUGUUUUUUUUUUUUUUUGGGGGAGUGAGUGGUUGGCUGUGAGUAAUGGGAGAGUAAUGGGAGAGAUAUUAUUAAUUAUAAAAGGAUAUAAUAGAAUUGUACUGUUUGUUUAAGGGUAAUUUCGGUAUUUUAGUAAAAAAAAUUUAAGUGGGGAAACAGCUUGUGCGGGAAUUUGUUUUGAAAAGCAGAUUUUUUCAGCUUCUGCUUUUGGGAGAAGCAGAAUCAGUUUUUAGCUUUUAGAAAGCAGAAUCAGAUUUUUCAAAUACCUUACCAAACACUCUAGCUUGGCCUAAAAAUGAUUUUCAGCUGAAAAUCACUUUGGAAUAGCUUGGCCAAACAGGGCCUAUGUCUAGUGCAAGUGGCAAAGGAUUGAUCCUUGGUACCUAAGGUCUCUGGUUCGAAGUAUAAUUGUUUCACAUUUCUAGCUAAGUUUUUUUUUUAAAAAAAAAUAAUAAAUGAAGCGAGUAGCAUGCUACCUUUCUUAAAAAAAAAAAAAAUCAUUUCAUUCCUACCCUUCCACAAGCUCCAUAACAGAUGAAUGCAAAAGCCUUAUGAGUCUCUAUGAUUUUGUUAAUGUAAAAAUAAUACAAUAUCGUAAUGAUUCAUGCAUCAUCAAUCACAAUACUAUUAUAUUACAUUUACAUUACCGAUAUAUUUACAUAAAUAGGAUGUUAUAUUAUUUUAUAUUAACGAUAUGUUAAAAUUUAGCUAACUAAAUUAGGUUAUAAAAUUUGAUUACAAUAAUUUUGAAAGUUCGAGUCAAAAUUAUAAUAAAUAAAGUUUGAGGAGCAAAAUGUCACAUACAAUACUAUUGCUCUUUUUUAAUUCUUUUAAAUACUAGUUAUAUAUAAUUUGAGAUACUAAUGAAGAAUUUUUUUUCUUUUUUUUCCUUCGUUAGUUUGCAAUUGCAUUAUGGCUAAUUGAUGAUGACAACUUAUUUUUAAAAAUGUAGAAGCAAGAAAUAAAUAUUUUUUAAUUUUAGUUUUUAGCGCGAAUAAAUCUUUCAUAUGAUGAAUUGUAAGCAACUCUCCUCUUUUUAUAAAAACAGCAAUGCUAAACGAUAUCUUAAUGUGCAAUAAAAAUUAAUUAACAAAAGGAUGCAUGAGUAAAUAGUACAUAAAAUUUAAGUGGUGAUUUUUUAAUGACGUUUUAUUGGGGAACCUUUGAUCUGCUGUUGUGUUAGUUUACCUCCAUUCAAAAAUUCAUUAGCUAUUUUUUACUGCUAAAAUUUAAAAAUCAAAUUUAAACUAUAAAAAAAAAUUGUAAUGUUUAAAUAGAAAUAAAAUUGAUUCAUGAUAUUGAGCUAGAACUUUUUAAUAAAAUGUGGUUGGAAAGAUCCCACUGAAUUUUUUCUGCAGCAAUGGUCAAAGAGGAGGGAGAGAAGAGAGCAGGUGAAUGUCUUUUCCUGGUUCUGUUUUGAGCACUUAUUACAGUGUCAAAGUACAGUUCUUAUAAUUCAAAUUUGUCUCCAAUCAUGUUGGACCCAGAAAAGUGAAUUCAAUCAAUUAGCUGUAGCAACUUUUGACUUUCUAGUUUGGCUCAUUUAAGAGGGUUGAAAAAAAUAAAAAACUCAGAUCUGAUUCAUACAAAAAAGUCUAAAAUGUUAGUUAUAUAUCUAGUGUGGCGUGCCUUAACCAAUCAUAAUUCUUCUUUAAAUUUAUCCAUUUUAUCAUAAUUUAUAAAAAAAUUAUUUGUGUUGUAUAUUUCUCUCAAAAGGAUGUAUUUGAUUGGUUGGAUAUAGCUGAUGUGAUGUGACUGCUACACAGAAAAUUUUUUCUUCUUAUUUAGACAUUAGAAUAAGUUAUUCAGUUAUAGCUUAGUAUAAAAUUAUUUUAGAUAAUUUUUUAAGAAGUAAAAGAUUGAUUCUGUUUUGUUUCUUAAAUGAUUUUGGCAUUUAUGAUUUAAUAUAAUAACAUAUUUUACCUAUUAAUUUAGUUUUUCUAAAAAUAUGAAUUGGCGAUUGAAAAUGCUAUUUCAUUUUAAACGUUUGAUCACACUCUUAACUUUCCAUCACAAUAGAAAAUCUCCAUUCCAAAGGAGGUUUCUUUUUACAAUUUAUUUUCACAUUCAAACGUUGUUCUGGUUCAACAAUAAAUUAUUUUUAUUUUAUUUCUGAUAUAGGUACAAAGAAGUAAAUUUAAUUUUGCAUUUGUUUAUGAAUUGAGUUAUUUUGAAGAAUAAGUAAAAAAAUAAAAUUUGAAUGAUAGAUUAGAAUAAUGAAAGUAUGAAUAAUUAUAUAAUUUUGAAAUAAAACUAUUUUACCCAAUUCAUAAAUAUCAAAUAAUAAUAAGAUGAAAUUUAAUAUAUUAAAUAAUUAAUUAACAAUGAACACUAUGGCCCCGUUUGGAUACCUCUAAAAACGUAGUAUAGUUAAACUAUACUAUGCCGGUAGGAAAAUAAUCCUAUGAAGCGUUUAGAAGAAAAAAAAUAACGUAAUUCCACCAUUUUGGGCUCUCAAAGAUGUAUCAAUUUCUAAAUUUUAAAUUUCAACAUAAAAUUUUAAAUUUCAAAAUUUUAAAUUUUAAAAUUCAAUUUUAAUUUUGAUUUUAAAUUUCAAAUUUUAAAUUUCAAAUUUCAAAUUUCAAAAAGUUCAAAUAUCAAAUAUCAAAUUUCAAAUUUCAAAUUUCAAAAAGUUCAAAUUUCAAAUUUCAAACUUCAAAUUUCAAAUUUCAAAUUUCAAAUUUCAACUUUCAAAUUUCAACUUUCAAAUUUCAAAUUUCAAAUUUCAAAUUUCAAAAAGUUCAAAUUUCAAAUUUCAAAUUUUAAAAAGUUCAAAUUUCAAAUUUCAAAUUUCAAAUUUUAAUUUAAUUUUUAAUUUUUAAUUUUCAAUUUUCAAAAUUUAAAUUUAAACUUUAAAUUUAAAUUUUAAAUUUAUAAAUAUGUAAAUUUAUAAAUUAUUAAAUUUAAAAUUUAAAAUUUUAAUUAUAGAUUUUUUAAAUUUCAAAUUUUAAUGUUUAAAUGGUAUACUUUAAAUUUUAAAAUUUAAAGUUUCAAAUUUCAAAUUUUAAAUUUCAAAUUCCAAAUUUCAAAUUCCAAAUUUCAAAUUUCAAAUUUAAAACAUAAAAUCUAAUUUAAUUUUUUAAUUUUAAAUUUUAAAUUUUAAUUUUAUAUUUUGAAUUUUGAAUUUUAAUUUUUAAAAUUUUAUUUUUAAAUUUUGAAUUUUGAAUUUUGAAUUUUAAAAUUUUAGAAAUUUAAUUGUCACAAAUACUGUGAAAUUGUAUGAUCUUUAUCCAAACAGCUUAAAAAUGAAGUUGUGAAAUAUUUUUGUAAUUACAGGAUUCCAUAUUUCAUUUAGACCAAAAUUAUAGAAUAAAAAUUCCAUAAAAUUUUUUAACUAUGCAUCCAAAUAGGGCCUAAAUAAGAUAAUAGAGAAGCACAUAACGUGAAUCAAACGGACCCUAAGAAUAUCAGUACCAUAUUAAAUAUAGAAUCAUUAGAUCUAUGUUAACACUUUCUCUUUUUAUCAGUUUACACUUUUAUGUUGGAUUCUAAUCAUUUAAUAAUUAUGUCAAUUUUUCAACGAGUAUCUUUUCAUAUACUUAUAAAAUUUGCUUAAUUUAUUUCUAAAAACUGUCAUGUUCAGCAUUAAAGUUUUCCUACUAUUCACAAAGAUAAAAAAAAAAAAAAAAAGGAAAAAAACAGGAAACAUCAUCUCUGGUACCAAACCAUUUGACUUCUUAAGCUUCAUCGGUCUAAUUAUUAUUUUGUACUUGCACAUUAUUACUAUUUUUUCUUUUUUUUUAAUACCAGUACAUUAUUAAUUAAUUAGUUGGCAAGUCAUAUAUACUAGCUAUAAAAAGGUGCAAACAAAAUUUUGACCAGAACCACCAAUGAAAAAUUAGAGAUCAUAUUAAACUACAUUAAUAUAUGCUUGUAUUGCCCUAACAUGCAUUUGCUUAUUCAAACCUAACAUAAUCCACAAUCAACAGGAAAUGUGUUUGAUAAAAACUACUAUAUAUAUAGGGUUAAUUGUAUACAGCUCCUUGUAAAUAUAUCGAAUAGCAAAUAUAUCCCUACAAAGUUUAAAUUUUCAUAUUUAUCCAUGUAAAAGUUCUAAUAAUUUCAAAUAUACCCCCGUUGUUAGGAUCUGCUAAAAAUAUAUAAUUUACCAUAGUAAAAUAUUUAAUCCCGAUUAGUGAAUGAGGUAAUUAAUCUUUGUACCCCUCUUAUGUUAUUUGUGAUGAUAGAAAAGAUGAAAAUGACGUACCAUUGGAGAUUUUUGGAAGGAUAUUUCUUCAUAAUUCUAAUACUCGGAACCUUUGGAGGAACAUAUUUGUGAUGAUAAAAAUAUCAUUUUAUUUAACUUUUUUUAAAAAAUAAACAAUGCUCUAACGGUAAGAAACCAUAAGGCCAAAUAUGAAUAUCACUGGACUUUUAUAGGAACAAAUAUAAAUAGUUGAAUUUUAUAAGGAUAUAUUUAUUAUUCAAUAUGGUUAUAGGAAGUUAUAUAAAAUGAAACCUACAUAAUAACUUCAUAAUAGAAUCUAAAUGUAAAAUUACGGUCAUUCUAGUUUACACCAUAUCUCUUGUUUUUGAAAUAAUAAAAAUUACUUUCCAUAAUUUAGUUCCCAAACUAGUCGAGAACGGUUUUGGAUUUUUGAAAAUUCGUCCCGAAUCCGCCCCGUUGACAUUUCUAUCCUUAUGUGAAAUGGGACUAGUAAGUUGGAGCAAUUCUCCCUUCUUUUUUUUGAGGGAAAACAAAGGCGAUUUUAUUUAAUUAAUUAGUGGAUACAAAACUGAGAAAAUUCAUCAAUAGAAGACCAGAAAGAAAGCUUUUUUCUUGUGAGUCCCCAAGUGGCUAAGCGAUUCGCGACUAUAGUAUAUUUAGAAAAUCUCAAAUUCCAUCCGGAGUUGGAGCAAUUCUCUCUAACUUCACUGGAUUUCGUCCAUGCACCAACAUUUACUUCUGCGUCACUUUCCGCGAUGGACAUCCAAAUUAAGUAUUGACAAGAUUAAACAUAGUUUAAGAUUAUUGAAAUUUUUUAGGAACCAAUUUUGUAAAUUUUUUUUACAUUACUCGUCUUCUAUUCGAGGGAUUUCAAAUGAUAGUGUUAACAAUUAUUCGAAAGUGAGUUUAAGACCACUUGAUUAUUAAGCAAAAAAUAUCAAAAAAUUAUAAAAUUUGGUUUCAAUGCUCAAAUAGGUUCAAUUGUAUUUAAUAAUACCGAUCGUCAAUUCAGAUACUUACCGUUUAAUUAAGAUAAUGUAGAUGUAAACAAUGCCGUAUUCUAAUUGUACUUUUAUAUUCAUUUUAGGGUAAACUUCAAUUUGCCCCUGUAUGGUUUAAUCUAUUUUGGCUAUACUGUUGCUCAAAAAGUUGCAUUUAGCUAUCAUGUAUUUUUAUUUUAUUUCGCUGAAAAAUUCUGUAGCCAAAUAGAAUAACAGAGUUUUUUUUUUGAAAACUACACGAUAGUAUCGUAUUUACCGAUAGGCAAAAUAAAAAUAAUAUCAUAAACUAGUUAACUAUAACUUUUUGAAUCCCAGAAUGACAAAGUAAAAAAUGUGCUAACUAAUAGAAUAAUUAAGUAUAAUUUUUUUGCACCAUGAGAUGACCAAAUAAGAUAUGCAAAACCUAAAGGUUAUUGAAUUUUUUUUGCCCUUCUUUUUAUUAUUAUAAGGUUAUUGAAUUUUUUUUUUAAAAGAAAAUAGCAAGUUAUCCAUUUCAUUUACUAAAGAAAUUAAUUUUGCUACAUAUAUAAAGUAACUAGACCUCAGAACCCAGGAAAAAAAGAAAAAGAAAAAAAAAUCAAAGUCCCACACAAAAAUAAAAUAAAAUAAAAUAAAAAAUAAUCACAUCAUCCAAACAAUUUACCUCAGUAUUUAAAGGUGGGAAAUCUUCGGCUCUGCUGCCGGCAAUGAAUAGGAAGGCCAAGCAACGAGAGGGUGUGGAUGGUAGUGGGGACGCUCUACCAGUCAAGGUGCUCAUCCGCAAGAGCCGACUCGGCGGAGUGGAUUUGGGUGAUGCCGAAGUGAAGGCCUUCGACGACUUUUUGAGCAAGCAUAGGGGGGGUUUGUACGUGCAGGAUUGAUGGCACCUUUUUGGGGAGUGUGAUGGUGUCUUUUGGUUUUAUUUUAUGAUUGGAGUCUGUAGUUGGAAUGUUAGAGGGCUUAACAACCUCUCUAAGCGUAACGCCGUUAGGACGGUUAUUUCUAAGUUUUGUAAUGUGGUAGUGUGCUUGCAAGAGUCUAAGGUGGAUUUUGUAUCCAGAUCCUUUUUGCAUAGUAUUGGCGGAUCCUUCCUUAACAAAUGUGUCUAUCUCGAAUCGGACGACGCUUUUGGAGGAGUUAUCACGUGUUGGAACUCGCGUUUUUUCCUUGGCCAUGACGUCCUAGUGAGAAAAUAUUCGGUGACCGUCCUUCUUUCGCACAUCAAGUCCGGAAAAAAUUUUUACGUCACGAAUGUCUAUGGACCGACAACGUGGGAUGGGAAGGAGGAAUUUUUUGCGGAAGUAAUGCAGUUGAGAACGCAUUGUGAGGGAAGCUGGAUCAUCUGUGGCAAUUUUAACAAUAUUAGGAGACAAGAGGAGCGAAAGGGGAAGACCUGGAGUGCGAAAGCCAUGGAUAUGUUUAACUCACUUAUAAGAGACUUAGCACUAAUAGAUCCACCUAUGACGAAUCAAUCUUUUACGUGGUCGAAUAUGCAAAAAAACCCGACCCUUGCGAGACUCGAUCAUUUCCUAUUAUUAACGGAGUGGGAUCAGGAUUUUCCUUUUUCGAAGGUUGUUGCUCUCCCUCGUGUCACUUCUGACCACUGCCCUAUUCUUCUCCCUCGUGUCACUUCUGACCACUGCCCUAUUCUUCUGACGGUUGAGAGGGGAUACAAGGGGGGGGGGGGAAUCUUUCGAUUCGAGGAAGGGUGGCUCAACCAUGAGGGCUUUCUUACCAAAGUACCUGGAUGGUGGAACGAAGGGGAUUCUAAAAGCUCUGCUGUGCUGACCAUUACAGCGAAGUUGAGGCAUUGCCGAAAAAGGAUUAAGGAAUGGUGCAAAAAUGAGUUUUACAGUGUUAGAGGGCAAAAGGAUUUCAUCAUGGGUGAGAUUCACCGAAUUGAUCAAGCGGAGGAACAUAGCACACUUUCAAAGGAAUGGGUAGCGAAAAGAGAAGAUCUGAAAGUAAAAUUAAGAGGCGUAUUAAAUGACGAAGCGUCCUUGUGGAGAGCCAGGGCUAAUCAGCAUUGGUUACGCGAGGGAGACAGUAACACGAUAUACUUCCAUAGUAUAGCUAAUGGAAGAAGACGAGCUAAUGGGGUAGGGGUUGUUGCGGAUAACGGGCGAGUUUAUCAAACUGAGGAGGAUAAGAAGGAAUACUUUUUUGGUAAAUUUAAAGAGCUCUUUAUGGCGGACGACAAGGCCCCACAUUUUUUCGGGGAUUGGAGUAGACUGUUUACCACAAAUCGGGUUUCGGACCCGAUGCACAAGCGGCUUACUGAGAGGUUCAGCAACGGCGAAAUUAAGGAAGCGGUGUUCCAAUUGGGAUCUAAUAAAGCUCCGGGCCCGGAUGGAUUCCUACUACGUUUCUACCAAACAUUCUAGGAUACCGUCAAAGGAGAUCUACUAUUAUUGUUCCAAGAAUUGUAUGAGGGCAGGGUGUCCACUGCCCCCUUCGACUACUCCUUUAUAUGCCUAAUCCCUAAGAAGGAAGGAGCGGAGAGAGCAAACGACUUUCGACCUAUCAGUCUCAUUAACGGAAUACAAAAGAUCAUAUCGAAGGUACUGGCUAAUCGCCUUGCUGUAGUGAUGAACGAGCUAAUUUCACCCUCUCAAUCGGCGUUCUUGAAAGGGAGAAAUAUAACGGAUGCUUAUGCCACCGUCUCGGAAUUAAUAAGGUGGGGUAGUAAAACGGUGACUGAGGGGGUUGGCAUUAAAGUGGAUUUUGAAAAGGCUUAUGAUAGGAUUCAUUGGCCUUCUAUUCAGAAUUCUCCAGUGGUGGGGAUUUGAUGCGAAAUGGUGUGAAUGGAUUAAAAAGUGUGUGUGCAACGCUAAAGUUGCCAUCUUGGUUAACGGAGAGGCGACUAACUGGAUCAAAACUAAGAGGGAGGUGCGGCAAGGGGACCCAUUAUCACCAUUCUUGUUUUUGUUGGUGGCGGAGUGUCUCGCCAGACUGACCGUCGAGGCCAUUGAUAACAACCUCUUGAAGGGUGUUGGUCCUUCCGAUGAGAGUUUAACGGCACUCACAUAGUUUGCGGAUGAUACUUUCUUUUUCUCGGUGGCUCGAAAAAGAUAUAUCCGAAACCUUAGACUGAUGUGGAACCUUUUCGAGUGGGCUUUAGGUUUGAAAAUCAACAGGGAUAAGUCGGAGCUCUACUAUUUCAAAGGGAGGGCAAAGCAGCACGACUUGCCAAAUUGAUAGACUGCAGUGUGGGCUUUCUUCCCACCACCUAUCUUGGAUUCCCCCUCUUCCCAAAACCACCCACGAAGGAGGCAUGGACAGGGUAAUUCAGAAAAUACAGAAUAGAAUAGAGGGAUGGCAUGCCAAACUCCUCUCAAGAGGAGGUAGACUUAUCCUGGUCAACGCUGUGCUUACUAACCUCCCUCUUUACUUUCCGUCAGUGUUUUAGGCACCCAGUUGGGUGAUUAAACGUAUAGAAGCCUUACGCAGAGACUUCUUCUGGAGUGGACAAAGCAACUUCUCGGGCAAGGGGUGCCUAAUCGCAUGGAAGAACGUCUGUGUGAGUAAAAAGGCAGGGGGAUUAGGCAUUCUGAAUGUAGCGAGCAUGAAUCGGGCACUCCUAGUUAAAUGGUGGUGGAGGUUUCGCACUGCACCCCAACUACAGUGGACUAAGAUUAUUCAUGCGCUUUUCUACAAAAGAAAAAAGCCCCUGAGGGAAGGUAAAUACUUCAGACCACACUCACACUGGUGGAAAGGUGUCUUAACUACUAAGGAAAUCUUCAAAUGGGGAAUCUACUAUAAACUAGGGAAUGGGAGCUCUAUUGAUUUUUGGAAGGAUAGAUGGUGUGGGGAGAAGACAUUUCAAAGAUCCUUUCCGGAGGUGUAUGGUUAAGAGGUAGUAAAUCAAUCACGGUUAGGGAUUGCUUUGGAAGUGAGGAUUGGAAUUGGACUACGAUCCUGGGUGAUGAGGCUACUGGUUUGCCUGGCCUGAGCCCAUCUAUUUCGAAAAUCAAAGAGAAGGUUAACAGCUAUCACUUAAGACACAGUUUGGACAUGAUAGGGUGGAGAUGGGGGGAGCAAUGGAACAUUCUCUGUCAAAUAGAUCUAUAGAAUGUUAAAUGAUGGAGGUAGGAGAGACGGACGUGUUAACAAGAUCUGGAGACUCCGCAUACCACUCAAGGUCAAAGUGUUCUGUUGGCUUGUCCUAAAGAAAAGAGCUCCUACAGCAGAGAACCUCAUAAAGAGAGGGUGGACUGGAGACACGACCUGCAUGUUGUGCAGGAUAUAUGAUGAGAUAGUGGACCAUUUAUUCACCCAAUGUAUCUUCACUAAGUUUUUUAUUGUAAUGGGCCUCGAGGAUGUCCAGGCAGGGGAGUUGGGAGGUGAUGUGAACGUAGUCUAGAAUGGGUGAAGGGGGGGGGGGGGGGGACGGUGGGCCAGAAUAGGAGUAAGGGACUAGCCGAGUUAGUCACAUGUUGGUAGAGUAUUUGGAAGGCCAGGAACAACCUUAUUUUUCGCGACAUUCAGCUGGACCCUGUUUUAGCAGUGCAUAGGCUCAAGCAGCUGAUCACUUCUGAAAUGACCUUCUAUGAUUGAUUGAUCUUUUUUUCUUUUUUUCUUUUUUUUUUUUUGUACUUGCUGGUGACUCAAGGCCCUAGUUGCCUCACCCUUAUAGCCGAAUUCACCCUUUCAAUGAAUGAAGCAGCUAGCGUGCUAGCUAUUCUCAAAAAAAAAAAAAAAAGCAUUGGUCCCAAACCCCUAAGACGGCUUAGUGGAGGUAUAAAGAAGAAAAUAAACUCUUAUUCCCCCCUUUAUAUCUAAACACAAUUUUGGGAGACAGAAAUAAUAUUUUUAUUUUUCAUGAAACAAGUUGGUAUAAAGACGGAACCACUGUUUCACCUUUUUUUUCUGAAACAUUAAGCUUGUUAAUUUCUAUUUCCUAAAUGAAAACAAGCUUAAUUAAAAUCUGAAUUUAAUUUUAAUUAUGGUACUAAAUUAUUAAUAAAUCAAAUUAAUGUAUUUAAAUCAUAAUCUAUUGCUUAAAUAAUAAAGUAAUUAAUUAAUUUAUUAUUUAUAAUUAAUUAGCUAAUUAAAAUUAAAAGUUUAAUAUUUUAUCUAGUUAAUUUCUUUACUGAUUAUCUAACUAAAUGAUUUACUAACUAAUUAAAAAGUAAAAUUACUUUUUAUCUCUAAUUAAUUAAUUAAUUAAUAUAUUUUUAUUAUCUUAUACAAUAUUCAUAGCUAAUAAAUUUAUUAAUUUAUUAAAUUAUUUGUAAUUAAUAUUUUGAUGUUAAUUAAUUAGAUAAAAUAUUUUUAACCUAAAAUUAUAACUCUUAUUCCUCCUAUUCCAAUCUAAUCAUCCAAAUACUAAUUACCUUAAUUCUAGGAACAAUACAAUUUUCAUCCAAAAUAUAAAACUGCUCUAAUUCCUGCGUAUACUUAAACUUAUACCUAUCUCUGAAAUAAGUAGUUCUUUCGUAUAUCCGAACCAAACGCAGGAGGAUACGCUUAGUCCUCUAUUACCGCCGUGUCUCAUAUUCUGAAAGAUCCUAUUAUUUUUCACAAGCCAUGCAUACUAUCCCCUAGGAAGUUUAUCAUACCAUUUUCCUAAUUUGAGUGUCCAUUAUCAACAAUAAACCCUCUCAAUUUCAUUGGUUAUACAUUUUCUUCGUGGGGAGGAAGUCUACAGUAUAACACUUGCAUCAUAUUUUUUAUGUUUAGCCAAUCACUUUUUUUUUUUCAGAAAAAUAUAGCAUAUUAUUUUUUAAAAAAAAUUAUAAUAAAUCUAAAAAAAUAAUUUAAUUAGUUGAAAAUAUUAUAUUAUAUAUUCUAUGUCACCUUCACAUUUUAGACCUUUUCCUUCAGCUGGUGGUCCUUCUCUGCAAAUGCCACCCUAUAAAUCACACACAUCCCAUAGAUUUCCAAACAAUCCUUGUCUUUUUCAAUUGACCAUAAGAUGGACAGCAACACAAUCAGACCGUGCCACCUUUUUGGAUGUUGCAUCCAAUAAAUAAAUAAAUAAAUAAAAAUAAAAACUCUAUAAAAUCAAUGCCUAAUAUACUCGCUUGAUGGGCUUUAUCAUAACUCUAAUUUUGAAUUAAAAAAAUUUGAUCCUCUAUUUCUAAGAGGUCGUUUGAUUUUAAUUUUACUCGCUUGAUAAACUUUAUUACAAAUUUAAAAAUCACAAACUUUAAUUUUUAAAUAUUUCAAAUACUCUAGAUUAUAUAUUAUAGUAUUAUUAAAUUAAUAUAAAAUAUAUAAAUAUAGUUAAAGUUUAACUUUUUGAAGAAUAAUCAUUGUUUUCACAUAAUUUAACAUGCUAUCAGAAUAAGAGCUUAUAAUCUAUAUUUAUAUCCAUACAUUAUUUCUUAUAAAAUUUACCAAAUGGCAAUUUCUUUUCACCCUUACCUCCUCUCCCCUUCCCACUCUCUAAUUGCUUCGCCUUUUUACCCCCAUCUCCGUCUAAUGCUUCGUCUUUUUACCCGCUCAUUUUCUAAUUAAUGCGUUUAUAUAAUUUAUUGUUAUCUAAACAAAUCGCUUUCACAAAAAAAAGAGUAAAAUAAAAAAUCUCUUCAUAUAUAGUUUUUUUUUCUCACACUAUUUGCAUUUAUUGAUGUCUCAUGGCAAAUCAAAAAAUUUUAAAAUUUUUUACUUUAUCAAUCUUCUAUUUUUUAUAAUAUUAGUCCGCCGUAAUGCGCAGAUAACUUUACUAGUAUUAUUUAAUUUUUUUUUAUUUAAUUAAGCCCAUGUCUUGGAUUUAUUAAAAAUCUUAUCCAGACGUAAAAAAAAAAAAUAUUAAACAUAAAAUAAAUAAAUACUGAACUCUACUAUUUUUAGUUUCUAAAGAUAAACUCGAUCUUACCUACUUACAUUUAAUUGCCGUCCGCUUCUUAAACAGACCUGUACUCCACAAGAUGAACUAAUGCUAUGUAUAGUUCUUAUAGAAAAAAAAAUCCCAAUUAGCCUCCUUUUAAAAAAAUUCCUAACCUAGGCUACUUUUGAUAUAUAGAAAAUAAAAAGAUAACUUUAAUAGUAUUUAUAUGCUAACUUGGAGAGAGAAAUUUUUUUUCUCUCUCUCCUCUCACCCUACUAAUAAUUUAAAAAAUAUUAAUUUUUAAAAUAAUAAUAUUAUUAAAAUUAAUAUUUUAAUAAUAAUAAUAAAUAUUAUAUAUUUGAAUUUUUUUGAAAGAUAGCAUGAUGCUAUCUCUUCAUUUAUUUUUUAGAAAAUAAAUCUUGCGAAAUAUUAAUAAUUCAAACUCAGGACUUUCAAAUAAGACCAACCCAUAAUUUAACACUUGUACUAAAUACUAGUAAUAAUAAUAAUAAAUUAUCAUUCAGUAAUAAUAAUGUCAUUAUUAUUAAAUAUUAAUUUUUAAUUAUUGUUAUUAUUAUAAAAAGUAAUUGAGAGAAAAGAGAGAGAAAUUUUCUCUCUCCUAAUUAACAUAUAAAUGCUUUUAAGUCAUUUUUAUUUUCUAAUCCAUCAAAAGAAGGCUAGAUUAGGAUUUUUUUUUAAGAAGAAAGCUAGAUUGGGAAUUUUUUUUUCUCAAUAAGGCUAGAUGUGGCAUUAGUUCCGGCAAGAUGGUGUGGAUACGAACCAAACAGGGCCUAAGACACUUUAGAGGUUGCUUGAACCCAAAACUAGGCCAUAAAUCCGAAUUUGAUAUUAAGGACCCACAUCCAAUUUUAAUCGGGUUAUCGGGUUAUCGGGUUAUCGGGUCUCUUAACUCCUCCAUCUCAAUCUCCACUCCUACAUAAACUCUUAGCCCAACUCCCUUUCCUUCUCCUAAACUACUCCACUACCAUGGUAGCGUCCUCCUCGCCAAUGGCCACGGCAAUCGCCGCGAUCGCCGACGCCGCCUCGUGGUGCUGCGCCCUGGCGGUGGUGGCGCUGGUCGUCCUUUGCGCCCUCCGAGCGGGGCCUCCGACGGCGGCGGAAUUGGCCGCCGUAGCCGACGAAGGAAGGCAAUUUGAUGCGGUAUUGCGCGGCGCGAGGCUCGCGGAGAAGCGGCUGUGCGACGAGAUAUACGUGGUGGGAGAGGGGGAGACGCUGCACAGCAUCAGCGACAAGUGCGGCGACCCGUUCAUCGUCGAGCGCAACCCCCACGUCCACGACCCCGACGACGUCUUCCCCGGCCUCGUCAUCAAGCUGAUCCCCCACCAACAUGUUUAACGGCUCUAUAUAGAGAGAGAGAGUGAUAGUAUGUGAAUAAUAUUUAUUAUCUAUUUUUUUUAUCAUCAUGUUACUAUUAUUUCACCUAUCAGUACUUAAUCCUAAGCAUUUGAUUGUACAAAAAUAGAUAGCAAAUAUUAUUUUUAUUUUAUCAAAAGCAUUUCAGCCACGUUUUAUAUAUAUAUAUAUAUAUAUAUAUAUAUAUAUAUAUAUAUAUAUAUAUAUAUAGUAUAUAGAGAAUUAGAGUACUUAAGAGGUUAAUCAUAUAUUACUGUCUAAGUUGUUAGAAUGUAAAUAAAAAUGUAUAUAACUUAUCUGCCUCAUAAACUAUUUUAAGUCAGCUAUUCAAGCUUUCAAAUUUUUAAUUUUUUUAUUCUAUCUUUCAAUUUAUGUGAUUUGAGUUAGGCUUAGUUUGGUAUUGAAAUCUAUCUAACGCUAUUAAAUAAAUGGAGUUGAGGAAAAAGCAUAUAGGGAUAUACUUCUGCGUUCUCCGAUGGGACCGCGAAAAAUAUAUCGUAACCGACUCAUCGCGAUAUGCAGAAUGCAAUAUUACGUACGAAAACAAACAGGGUAUUUUUCCAUCGUCGUUUCUCACCGCACGUAAUGCAAUCUUUCCGCAAUCCCAAACGAAGCCUUAGUCAGUUAUAUUUUGACCUCAAAAUUUAGAUUGAUUACUUACUCUGCUGAAUUUAUUGGCACAAGAAAUUUAUAGAAUAUACCAACUAAAUCUUUAGAAAUAAACAUUAUAUUCGAAUUUUGAAGCUAAAUUAUCACAGAGAAACUCAGAUCAAACAAAUUGCAAGAUUACAUAAUAAAAUUAAAAUUUUCAAAAAGUUAGAUAGUCAAAUAAAAAGGUCAACAAUUAAAGCAUAUAAGUUCUGUAUGUUUACCUAAAAUAUAUGAUAUUGAAGUAUGAUGAGUUUAUACCUUAGAUCUUUGUGAUGUUUCUUUUGUUUAGAUUAUUUAUGAGCAGUUUUAUAUUAAUUUUUUUAAUUUUUUUUUUGAAAGACGGCGAGGAAUAAUCACUCAGCUAGCUUCAUUCAUUAGAAAACUGAACAGCUUAAUUCAUUAAAACAAAGAAGAAAUUACAAGGAAAAUAAUAUUUUUGUGGAGAAUUUUAACUCUCGCUGAUUUGAUCAUCUUUUCGUCUUCUAUUAUCCUUUUUGGUCUCUGAUAUGAAUUCUAAUAAAUGUCUCGUUUUGUUAUUGCCAUAUAAAGUAAUUUCUUUUGUGGGCUCCAAAAAUUAUAGGAGGUAGGAAUUGGGAGGAAGAGGAGAGGUAGAUUGAGAGUAAUGAGUUGCUGAGUAAGCUAAGGUUAGUUCACCUACUCGCAUCUAACAUUAUCAAGUGUUGGUUUCUAGUUGGAAAGUGGUGUAAAUGAUCCUGCGAUUCCCAAUAAACAAUAAAAAUAUACUUAACACUUUCAUUCACGUACACGAUAGAUUUAACACUAAUGUAAAGUUGCUAUGAUGGAGAUUUGAAUUCAAAACCUCACAAUCCUGAAUGAUUUUAAACAGUUUAGAAUAUAUAUAUAUUUUUUGAGAAUAAUGUAGUAUGCUACCGCUUCAUUCAAUAAGAAGGUGAAUUUAGCAAAAGGGUGAGACAACUAGGCCUCAAAAAAAAAAAAAAAAAAAAACACUACUACCUAGUACAAUAAGAAAGCCAAAGGUUCCGGUAUACUCGAAUGUUCGAUGGCAGUUGACUUGGGGAGCUCUUUUUGUCGAAUAUUUUUCUAUUCCUCUCUAACCAAAUGGCCCACCAAGCCGAGGCGAUUGUCGCUAAUUCUCGCUCCCUCAGGGCCCCAUCUUUACGACAUCUCUCCUCCCAAAGACGGUCAACUGAGGUACAGUUAGAAAUCACAGUUUAGAAUUUACUAAUUAAGAAUUAGACUACUAUACUAUUAAUAGCAUCCGGCGCUUGAUACUAUUAGUUUUUUGGUUCUUAGAUGAAGGGAUGUGUGGUUAGGAUGAUAGAGGUGCUCUAGAGUUGAGUGGGUGGUUGUUUAAUAGUAUAAUCUAAUUGAUGGAAAUAGUCAAAUGGGCAGGUCUAACUGCAUAAUCAAACAUUCGGUUUUAUCAAUAGUAUAGUAACCGGAGUCUACUAAUUAUUAUUAUUAUUAUUUUUUUGUAGAUACAUAAUUUAUCUAUUAGUUUGUUAUUUUGACAGUUAGCUGUUGGAAAAUUUAUUCCUAAUUUACAUUAUUAGUGUUAUGUUGUUGUUUGGUUGUUUCUUUAAAAAAAAAAAACAAAACUAAGUUUUUAUGGGAUAUGCACUAUGGUGGAGAAAUUUUUUUUUAAUAAGAUUUGCAUGGGAGAUAUGACAAGGAAAAUUGGCUCUGGAUAACCAAUCAUUUAUUUAUCUCCAUCAUCCACUCCAUCCCCAAAUCAUUUAGAAUAAUUAAAUAUAAGAUUUUUUUUUUUUUAUCUGCCCAUGCAACAUGUUUUUUUAAAGAUAGUAUUUAUCUAUGUAUUUUUUUAAGUUGAAAAUAUGCACAUAUUUUAGUAUAUAUAAUGUAGUACGUCUCUAUAGGUGUCUAUAUUUAUAUAUCUAUUAAUAUAUUAUAAGUUAGGCUGCUAUGCUAUUGAUAAUACGGAUGUCUCCAUGCUAUCAAGUAUUUUUUAGUGAUACGGCUUCCAAAUUGACGAUCAGUUUAAUUAGAUUUGAUCUACACUACUUAAAGUAUUUGAAAACUAAAUUUUAUAAUUUUUCGAUAUUAUUUGGCUAGUGAUCAAAAGAUCUAAAAAUUGACAAUUUUAAUGGUUGAUGUGAUGCUGUCACGCCCCGGAUAUCACAUUCCCCGGGCACGUCGACAAAUCCGCCGUAUACAAAGGAAUUUCCCCUGUAUACGAAGCGUCAAAGUACCUGUAGAAAAACGAUACUACAAACAGUAGCAUAGAGCUGCUCAAGAACAACUAAAUAACUGAGUUUCAUAUACAUAGCUAGCAUCCAAAAUACAAAACUACUCGCACUGGCGAGUUAAACAACUAUGUACAUAAACUCCAAAACAACAACUACCUGCAGUAGGGGAAAGCCUCUAGCUCUGACUGUCGGGUAGGGCUCUAGCUCGCAACGCCCUUGCCUCGAUCCUGAUCGGCGGAAGAUGCAGCAGCCGGCACCUGUGGCUCUGCAAAACAUAAGUAACAACUGGGCGUGAGAACUACUGUAAAAACAAGUAGUCCUCAGUGGGUACCGCCCAAAACGACAUCGGUCACCCACUAAGUCUACAGAAGGGAGCAAGCGAUUAGAAGAAAAACGCAGAAAGUCACUCUACCCGCGAUCAUCCACUAACACCUUCCAUAGGCUCUUUAUACUAACCGAACUAGUGGAAAUGUCAAAUCUGACCAAUCCAAAAUCGGGACUUGUAAGCAUUAUCCGUCCCGGACUGUGAAUCACCCCCUGCUCCGUUGCGGACUGUCCAGUACUCCACAAUGACUAGUCCGUGAGAGCAAGUCCACUGGCAUGAGCGACACCAACUCGAAAGCACCAGCCUGAUCCGGAGUGGCACUCGUGGGCUACCAACCGAGUAUGCAGCGUAUCUUGUCGAGCUCAAUCAGGCUCAACUAGCCAAAGUCAAGUAAUCGACUCAAACCGUCUAACAACCAACAGGUAACGUGCCCUCGCACAAUCUGACGCCAAAAAGGCGAUACGGGUCCACCGUCAGCUCUGACAGCACCCAACAGUCCGAAAACAACCUGAACGACCCUGUAAAAUCCACUCGGCGAACAGCACGAGUGUAAAUACAUUCUAACUACCUGGGUACUCGUCUCGACGAAACUGACAAUACAAUUUUCUAACGGUCCUGGAGCUAAAUCAGGUAGUUAAAACUGGUGACAGGUCCAAACGCAGGUUUUCUCCUAAUUCAAAUUCCAUGUACCAACAUGUAUAAUCUAUCUUAAUUUAUAAAACAUGCUCCAAAUUCAGAUUUCACAUCUACAUAUCGUCCAUAAAUUUGAGCUAACACAAUUUACCGAAAUCAAAUCUAUACAUGUCGACCAAUAAGAACUUAAGGAGUAAAGUCGAUGUAACCCACCUCAAAGCUAAAUCCAGCCAGCGAACGAAGCCUCGAACCAGGACAACCUCUGCUAGAUCAAACUGGGGACCUCCAAGUCGCGUAGACGAGCUAACCGCCAACUAAACAAUUAAAGGAUCCUCGAUCAGUCCAGAAAUCACAGCAGCUGAGUAGGAACGAGAUUAGGACCGAGCUAACCUCACCAAAUCUGGCAAGUGAGGCUUCGUGGAUUCUCUCGAAGUCCGCGAAUCCAAGAACCAAGCCUCGACGCGAUCCGACGUUCCUACGCGGAGAACGAGCUGAAAUACGAACAGUCGACGGCGAAUUUCAGCAAAACAGCUACUAACCGAGUAGAAAUAGUAAUACUUGCCCAAAAUCCAAGAAAGAUGCCGAAUCACCCACCUCAACAGCGUCGAACCUCGGCGCGACGUCAAGAACAGCGUAGUCGUACGCUCGCUCGAUCUCCUCGCAAAGUCCCGGCGUCAAAUACGUGCUCGAACGAUCCCGCGGCGCGACGUCGGCGACGAAACUCCAAGUAACUCCUUCCUUGCUUCCAACCGGGUGGGAGAGUGAGAGAGAUGGAGAGUGCAGCUAGAAGACCUCUCUCUCUCUCUCUACAUGAAGCUAAAUAGAGGGGAGUGAGGGGUGAUACAAACGAGGGAUAAAAUUACACAUUUAGCCCUCUACCUACCAUCUUGUACCGGUACACGGACUCUUGUACCGGUACAAGAGCCAACCCGAGAGCUGCUAAGCUUCUGCGCGAUGGUUGUACCGGUACAGCCACUCUGCUUGUACCGGUACAGCAAGCAGAGAAUGCUGCAGUUUGCAGAAUUCUUCGCGGUAAGCCGCCCUCGCGUCGCACGGAGCCCGUUUUACGUCUAUUUGACGCCAACGCGACUCGGACUUGUCCCGACACUCUCCAGAGCUGUCGACAAGCCUCCACAGUCAAACACCAGGGAUCUCACAGAUGCAUUUGUAAAUUUAACGGUAUAAAAUAAUUCAAAUCUAAUAAAAUUUUUACAGAAAAUUUUUUUCACUAUUUAGAAUAAGAUCAAUAUUUCUUAUCUUAAAUUUAAGUCUUUUAUCAUUCUUUUUUAAUGAAAUUUUUAUUUAUAGUCGUUCAUUUUAGAUUGCUCGUUUGAUAGGUAAUAAUGUCGAAAAAUUAUAAAAUUUAGUUUCAAAUACUUUCAAUAGUGUAGAUCAAGUCUAAUGAAAUUGAUCAUCGGUUUGAAAGCCGAAUCGCCUCUGUGCUACCGAUAAUAUAGCAGCCGGACUUGUAUAUUAUAAUCACUUUUCCUUUGCCAAUUUUCGAAGUUUUUUUUUUAUUCUUCUGGAGAGAAAUAUGUAUGUAUUUUUGGGGUAAAUUGCAGUUUUGAUCCUCAAACUUUGAGACGCAUGAUAUUUUAAUUCUCAAAGUUUAUUUUGUGACUAUUUCUCAAAAUUUUUUAAUUGUUUUAAUUAAGUUUUGUAGUACAAUUAGUUGACUUAAUACAUUAUUUCACUGAUAUAGUAAUAAUACGGUAUCUUGGUAAUGAUAUGACAUCUUAGUUAGUUUCACACCAUCAGUUAGAACACUAUAAAAUCAUGAGGAAUACUUCACUACUCCAUAUAAAUCUUGACCAUUUAUUUUUCUUAAUAGAUGGUUUAGAUUUAAUAUGAUUAUAGAGGUGACCUGCUAUUGAAGCAUAGGUACCAUUCACCAGGCACCCAUUUAAAGGGUAUUUUAGUCUUUGUAAAAUAGUUUGGUCCACAAAACCGGUUUUAUCCAACUAAGAAUAUUGUGGCCCUCUUAAAUACCUACAACAAUAGUUGAAUUUUAAAUUACAACCAAACUAUAAAUUUAAAUUCAAAACAACAUUUAAAACUUUAUAAAUCAAAUUUAAUUUUUUUUAAUAUAAAACAUAAAUUUUAAAAUAAAACUUUUUGUUCCAAUUCAAAAUUUCAAUUUAAAUCAAAAAUUAAAAUUUGGCUUUAAGAUUAAACGUUCAAUUUAGAUUCAAAUUUAAAAGUUUAAUAUAAAUUUCAAAAUUAAAAUUUUACAUUACAAUACUAAUUUUAAAAAUUAAAUUUUAAAUUCAAUAUUUUUUUGAGAUGAAUAGUUAAUAAAUUGGGUAUCAUCUAAUUUGGUAAGUUAUCAAAGUAAACAAGAUAUUUAAUAUUUAAAGGAUACUGACAAAUUGGGUAUAUACUAAUUUUUUUUCAAUAUUAUCAUGUUAAUUAAUUCAAAUCGGUAACCUGUUCAACAGGUUACUUCGUGUAAAUCCCAACUAUACCCUUUACUAAUUAAGAAAUUAAAUUUUAAUACUUGUGGUGUAUUGAAGCAUUCCUCUAAAAUCAUACAUUAUAUAUAACAAACUAAAUUGAAUUGUAUGACUAACUUAUAGCAAUUUAAAAAGUUAAGCAAACAAACACAAUAAAUUAAAAUUUGGGUAAAAACGUACAUAACUUAUCUGAACUAUGGAUCAUUUUAAUUUGAUUAUUAAACUUUUUAAAAUUUUGAUUUUACUAUCCAAUCUUUUAAUUUGUUUAAUCUAAGUUUGUAAAUGACACCUUGACUUCAAAAGUUAAACGUAUUGUUUAAUCUAAGUUUGUAAAUGGUACCUUAACUUUAUAUAAUUCUCACAGCUACAAAAUUAUUAAAGUAAGUAAUUAGUUUAAAUUUUGAAGUCAAAAUGCUGUUGACCGACUCAAAUCAAACAAAUUAAAAUAUUGGAUAGUAAAUCAAAUUAAGGGUUUUUUAAAAACUCUAUGAAUUCGAAGUUCAUAGAUAAAGCUCAACAUUUCUGGGAGUGUACUCAGUUGGGUUUGAUCAUGUUUCAAGAAAAUUGUAAAAUUGAACCAAAAUUUUCAAUUUAGAAAAAUCUGCAACUGAACAGACCAAUUUAUUCUCAAAUCCGAUUCUAAUCAAACUGAAUUAAUUUGGCUUGGUUCCGUAUUGCAAGUAGUUUUUAGAACUGCAAUUUUUCUUAUGAAUUAAUUCAUAAUUUACAAGCCAAAAAAUAUUACACAUAAAAGAUCUAAUCAUAAAGGUAGAAUUUUGGAAAAGAAUUUAAUAUGAAAUCAAGAUUUCAUCAUAAAAAUAGAAUUUUGAAUGUAAAUAUAUCGUUUAGAUAAACAAUGUGAGUAGUAUUAUUAUUUGAUUUUCGAUUCGGUUCAUUAAAAACAGUAUCAAACCAAAUCGAAAACAAAACUAAGUUUGGCUAUUUCCAAAAUUGAAUCAAACUGAACUGAAUCGAACCAAAGACCAAACUAAUGAAUCAAAUUAUCUUAUUUUGUUGGCUUGGUUUAGUUUUCCGUUCAAAACUAAAAUAUAAAUAUUCCUGAACUUUUGGUUUAACAUAGAAUUGAAUUAAGUUUUUGAAUCUUGAUAUGCCGAAUAUGAUAUUUAUACAUAUAAACAAGGCCUUAGAGUUAAGAAUAUAAUCGCCCGGCCUAAACCUUACUGAGCCUUCUAUUUCCAAAACUUUCAGCCAAGUUUCUUUUCAAUCCUCAAACUUUCAAAUUUAACUUUAGUGGUCCCUAAGAUCUUAAAAUAGAUUCACUUUAGUCCUUAUUUAUAUUUUCUAUUAGAAGGUAAAUUAUUGCCUACACUUUUGUUUAUAAAUUUAUCAAUAUUUUUUCCAUCUUAUAUUUAACGCUAUGCGAUCUAUCGAGUUAUGUAUAAUCUUUUCUCUAUAUAAAAAUUAGAAUGUUGAACUGAAAAAUCAGGGGGACUCCCCGAUUGCAAUAAAACAUAUACUACAUUCAUCAUUUAUCAUAUUUAGAGAUCCGCCGCAUAUGGUGCUUCAAAUUUGGACCAGUGUAUUAAGGGGUUGUUUAAUUUUACCUGCAUUUGCAAUUGAAGUGCACUUGUAACUAUAUGCAAAUUUAAAUUCGGUAGCUGAUUUGAUACAUUUGAAUCUAACAAUUAAGAAGACCUAGUUAUAGUAGCUAGAACUGCACUCAAAUUGGUUACAAUUCUAACUGUAGUUACAAAGAGUAACUUUAAAGAAAGUGUAAUCUUAUCUCCCUUAUCACUUUUUCACUUUCUCGUAUUAUUCAAAAAUCUACACUUUACUCUCUUAAAAAAUAAAAAAUAUUCACAGAAAAAUACCCUGUGAUAAAAUGAUCAAAUUGCCUAUCUUUUUCUUCGAGAUGGGCAUGGAUCGAGAAGUAGGCGAGGGCGAGGGUGAGGCGGCAGAGACGGACAAGGACCUGUGUGUGGGCAUGGACAGAGAGGUCGGCAAGGGUGGGGCGGCGGAGGGUGAGGUGACGCGGUGGAGGGCAAAGUGGCGCGGCCAAGGAUGAGGAAAGAUAAGGGUUUCAAGAAUAUUUUAGGUAUAAGAAAUAGGAUAUAAAUGGAAUCCCGACGAAACACUGACGGCAGAAGUUAAAGUAAAUAUUUUUUAUUUUUUAAAAAAUAAAGUAUAGAUUUUUGAAUAACAGGUAAGAAAAAUGAAAAAAACGAAUAUUGACCGAAAAAUUUCUAUAUUUAGCAAAUAAAAAGUAAUAAAAAAUAGCAAUAAUACUUUACCAUUCUCUACGCACUGGACUCUUCAAUGGCUAUAAUAAUGUUUCCCCUUUAUAAUCGGCCACACCUGUGGCAUGUAGAGAGGGCUCAAAGAGUCUCUCAUCUCUCCAUCUAUUAUUGUUUAUAAGAAGCUUCUAUUCUUGUGCUAAUAAACCGGAGCACAUUUUUUUGCUGCACCAUUUUAUGGUAUCCACAUAAAUAAUGUAACAGUGUACUAUUAUUGUUCCCUACUAUAGCUUUAUAUAUUUGAGAAAGCUCAGAAACUAAAAACCCAUUUCUUAAUAUAAAUUUUCUAAGUUAAUUACUCGGGACUUUUAUACCUUCUUAAUUUUCGAUUUCGGUUUCUGAAUACAUUAUCUAUUCAGUUUAUAAAUUUUCGCUAUCCUAUAAUUCUAAUAUUUCUAAUAUGAUUGGCGAUCAAAAGGCCAAAGGCCUCGAGACAUGGGCAAUUUUUGUUGCUAUUCUCAUCUCCCUGGGCUUCUGCUACUCAGAAAAAGGUAAGUUUUCUCAUCUCUCCAUUUUAAUAAAAAAUUGGGGCUUUUUGUUUAUAUUUUUUUAUUACUAUUGCAAAAUUUUAAUUUAUCCUCUUUAUUCCCCAAAUACCUUUCUAAAUCCCAAAUUUCAUUAGUAAAUUCUCAAAUAAGAGAUAUAUUUAUUCCUUAAUAAAAUUUUUGAAAAUCAAUAAAGAUAUUUUUGUCCGUUGGAUGUAUAUUAGAUAUCCCUAGAAAUAUAAUAUUAAUUGUCCGGUAAAAAUGUACGGGAGAUCCCCUCAAUUAUAGGCCAUUUUAAAAUAGGGUCGUUAACGAUUUUUAUUUUGAUUGAAGCUUUCUUAACUUAUAAUUUUUUAUUUAAAUUUUUAUAUUUAUGUUAGUUCCAAAAAUGAUCAAAUUUAAUGAUUUUAUUUGUUGUUAAUCAUUAAUUGAUAUAGUUUUAUUAGCCGGCAAAUAAUUAAGUACGAAAAUAAAUCUAUAUAUUUUUAUUAGAAUUUUCUUUCAAAGCCUAGUUUGAUAAUUGGGUUAAUUUCAUAUAAGUCCCUACAAAUAUAGUGAAUGACAAAUAUAUCCUAUAAAAUUCAACUUUCAUAUAUUAUUCCUGCAAAAGUCCUCAUAUUUUCAAAUAUAUCUAUCUGGUCUGUUACCGUUAGAUAGCUGAUUAUAUUUUCAAUUUUGUCAUUAUAAAUAUAUCUCUCCAAAAGUCAUAAUAUUAUAAUAUAAGAGGGGUACAAAUGUCAAAAACCAAUCAGGAUUAAGUAUUUAACUUAUGGUUAACUUAAUUUUUUUAACGGAUUCUAACGGCAGAAUAUAUUUGAAAAUAUCAUGAUUUUAUAGAAAUAAUAUAUAAAAAUUAAAAUUUAUAUAAAUAUAUUUAUUAUUUACUAUAUUUGCAGAGACCCUUGUGAAAUUAAUCUUUGAUAAUAUGGGGCUUAGAGUUGAGACUAUGUGGAAAGAACAAUAAUUUUUUGAAAAAAAAGCAAAUUUAAAUUAAAUGUGAAAUUAAUUUAAACUGUUAAUUGUUGGCGCCACUUCUUGCUGCAGCACCAAACUACACCUUCGUGAGGGAUGCAACGCAGGCCCCGGCCAUCUCCUACUACGACUACAUCAUCGUCGGCGGCGGCACCGCGGGGUGCCCGAUCGCUGCCACCCUCUCGGAGGGCUCGACAGUGCUCCUCCUCGAGCGCGGCGCCUCCCCCUACGGCAACCGCAACAUCUCCAACUCCGCCUUCUUCGCCGACACCCUCGCCGACACCUCCCCCUCCUCCCCCUCGCAGCGCUUCGUCUCCGAGGACGGCGUCAUCAACGCCCGCGCCCGCGUCCUCGGCGGCGGCAGCUGCCUCAACGCCGGCUUCUACACCCGCGCCAGCGACGCCUACGUCCGCGAGGCCGCCUGGCGGCCCGCGCUCGUGCGCGAGGCCUACCGCUGGGUCGAGCGGAAGGUGGCGCAACGCCCGGCGAUACGGCAGUGGCAGUCUGCCCUCCGGGAUGGGCUCGUCCAGGCCGGCGUCACGCCGUACAACGGAUUCACCUACGAUCACGUCUACGGGACGAAGGUCGGAGGCACGAUAUUCGACGCGGGCGGCAACCGGCGCUCUGCGGCGGACCUGCUCGAGUACGCGCACCCGGAGAGGCUCACGGUGCUGCUGCGUGCGACCGUGGCGAAGAUACGUUUCAAGCUCAGAGGUGAGAUGUCGUUGUUGGAACAAAUUGGAUUAAUGACAAAGUAGUGUUUGAAAAAAACUAUUGAAUGCGUGUACUUGUUCUAAAUCUUAAUUUUAUUUGUCACAACAAUUGAACUUUGAAUUUUUUUUUCAAAUAAUUUAAUAAAAGCAAUGCCACCUUUACAUUUAAAAAAAAAAAAAGGGUUAAAUUUUACACCUUAUGGUCAUAUUUUUGUAAUUUUAAAAAUUUAAAAAAGAUUGCACAAAUCUUUGGAUUAUGAUUAUAAGAUUUAUACCAGAAAGUUUGUUGAAUAAGUAGCAUUUUUCUUAAUAUAUAUUAUUAUUGCUUAAAAGGGAUACAUAAGUGGGAAUAAAACUUAUGGCUUUCCAGAGUACAGGACUUUUAUUUCAAGUUAUUUUCAAUAAUGUGACGUUUGAUUUGAUGAUCAAUUUUGAUAAAUAUAAUUUAUGCUAUUUAAAUUAUUUAAAAAUUAAAUUUUAUAAUUUUUUUAUCAUCUGCUAAGUGAUUAAUGAGUUUUAAAAAUUAUUAUGUUGGUGGUCAAUGUAACAUGUUUGUAUGUUCAACGGUAAAGAACAUUACAAAUUAAGUAAAAUUUUAAUAGAAAAUUUUAUUUACCAUCAAAGGUAAGAUCAUUUUUUUUAUCUAAAAUUUAAGUUUUUUAUCACUAUUUUUUAUAAAAUUUUUAUUUUCAACAAUUUAUUUUUAAACUAUUUAUUCACUUGACAAAUAAAGUCGAAAAAUUUUAAGAUUUAGUUUUUAAAUAAUUCUUAUAUAAUAAAUUAUUUUUAAAAAAAUUGAUUGUGGCAUCAAAUGUCUCAUUAUUAAAAACAACAUUAAAGUAAAUGACUUUCUUAGUUUUAAAAAUAUAGUUGUCUAGCUCCAUAAGUGGAGCCCGCAAAUAAUACAAAAGAUUUACAUCAUUAUGACCUUAAUAUAAUUCCUGCUCAAAGAAAUAAUGGCUAUGCACAAAAUUAUCAAUUUUUUUUUUAACUUUUACUUGUAAAAUUUAGAUUUCAGCAUGAAAGGACCUUUUAACGACUAAAUAGUAACACCACCAUUGUAUAGAGCAGCCGUAUGAGAUGUGUCGGGCUUUUUGUGAUUGAGACUUUGAUUUGAAUCACCUUUUUUUCUAGUACAGGAAAAGUAAGGCCAACGGCGCAUGGCGUCGUGUUCCGGGACUCGGCCGGCAAGAAGCACCGCGCAUACCUAAACAAAGGAUCCAAGAACGAGAUCAUCGUGUCCGCGGGGGCGAUCGGGAGCCCGCAGGUGCUGAUGCUGAGCGGCGUGGGGCCGCGGGGCCAACUUGAGUCGCUCGGCAUCAACGUGGUCGUCGACCAGCCGAUGGUCGGCGUCGGGAUGUCCGAUAACCCGAUGAACGCCGUGUUCGUCCCGUCGCCGACCCUGGUCGAGGUCUCCCUCAUCCAGGUGGUGGGCAUCACCCAGUUCGGGAGCUUCAUUGAGGGCGCCAGUGGAUCAGAUUUUGAUACAGCAGCCCCUAACUCCCAACUGCCGCGCAGCAGGAAUUUUGGCAUGUUCUCUCCUCAGGUAGCUUUUUUAUCUUAAAAGGUAAUAACGUAUAGAAUUUAUCUGUAUUGUGAAUUAUUUUGAUUUAAUUAUUUAAGUUUUUAUAAUUCUAAUUAUACUUAUACAAUUUUUUAAUAUGUUUGAUUUAAAUAAAUCAACAAUAUUUUGGCUCUAAAUUUUAGAUAUGUCAUUUAUGUUUACAGCUUUAAUUAGUAUAUUUUAUAUAAUUUUCGUAAUUAUAAGUUUUCUAAAUAAACAACUAGUUUAAAUUUUGAAGACAAUAUAUUGUUGACUAAAAAGUUAGUAAAAUUAAAAUUCUAACUACAGUAGUUAAACUUGAAUGUGUCUAUCUUUGAAUUUAUGUACAGCUAUAAUUCUAACGUAGCAACAGUUGUAUGUAAUAAACCGACAGUCCCUAGAGCAAGUGUCAAAGAAUUUGGUGGUUGGUAUCCGAGACCCAAAUUCGAAUCCUAGUUGAUUCACAUUUUUAGCUAAGUUUAAUUCUAAAUGAAAUAAACGAAACAGCUAGCAUACUACUUAUCUCUAAAACAAAAUAAAAUAAAAAAAACAGUUGUAUGCAAUCAAACAAAUUCUGAGAGAGAUAUACAUUGGUCUCUCAAAGUUUUCGAAUACGAACUGCUUUAACAUACAGAUCGACAAACUUUUCUGCCGACUUUGCGCAGACCGGCCAACUGUCUACUGUCCCUCCGAAGCAGCGAACUCCGGAAGCGAUAGCCAAAGCCGUCGAGGCCAUGAACAGCCUCGACGACUCCUACUUCCAGGGCGGGUUCAUCCUCGAGAAGAUCAUCGGGCCGCUCUCGACGGGCCACCUCGAGCUCCGGUCGAGGAACCCCGACGCGAACCCCGCCGUGACCUUCAACUACUUCCAGGAGCCCGAGGACCUCCGGCGCUGCGUCGACGGCAUCCGGACCAUCGAGCGCGUCGUCGCGUCCGACGCCUUCGCCAAAUUCACGUAUGCCUACCUCCCGGAGGCCGGCCUGCUGAACAUCUCCAAGGAUUUUCCGGUGAAUCUGCUUCCCAAGCACCAGAAUGAUUCGCGGUCUUUGGAGCAGUACUGUAAAGAUACUGUGAUGACUAUCUGGCACUAUCAUGGGGGCUGCCGAGUGGGGGGAGUAGUCGACGCAGACUACCGAGUUCUUGGCGCGGAUGCCCUGCGUGUUGUUGACAGUUCUACUUUCAUCUACUCUCCGGGGACUAAUCCGCAGGCGACCGUCAUGAUGCUCGGGAGGUAAAACUUGCCCUCAAUUUUCCGUCUUACUUUUUUUGAUAAAUAAAAUUAAAUUAACUAACUUGCCUGAACUACGGAACAUUUUGAAACAGCUACUUAACCUUUUAAAAUUUCGAUUUUACUAUCCAAUCUUUCAAUUUAUUUGAGUUGAGUCAGUCGAUGAUAUUUUGACUCUAAAAUUUAAGUUACUUUAAUGAAUAUAUAGUUGUGAGAAUUGUACAGGUUAUUUUACUAAAUCUGUGAAGAUAAACGAUACAUUUAAAUUUGUAAAUCAAAAUAUUAUUGACUGACUCGAAUCAAACAAAUUAAAAGAUUAAAUAAUAAAAUUUAAAUUUGAAAGAUUGGACAGCGGAUUUAAAAUAGCUCGUAGUUCAUAUAAGCUAUGUGCGUUUUUAUGUUUGAAGUUUGCUUUAUACAAAGUCUCUUUAUUGCAAAAAUAUCAAUAUCCAAUCAAAUAUUUUUACACAAUAUAAAAGUAUAAUAAUUUUUUUAAAGCAUCGUUAUUGGUUAGAAAUUUUAUAAUCUCACAUGACACAACACAAAACUUAGUUUGUUUACAAUUUCAAGCGAGUUCAUUUUUAAAAAAUACUAAAUGAAGCAGAAGUAUGCUAUUAUUCUCUCCUUAAAAAAAAAAAAAAAAAACCUUAUACCACACGAUGCUAGAGGUGGCAAAUUAAAGUUUACUCUAUGUAUAUUGAACAUGGAGAUUUUUCCAUCUUAAUCUUUCUUUUUCAUUUUUCCAUUCAUUAAAAAGGAUAUCUUUUUUAGGCGAUAAUUGUCAGUGUAACUAUACUUUUUGAGAAAGUAAUAGCAUGAUUAUGUUUGUAACAUCUUUAAUUAAUUUGUACAUUAAAACAGGUACAUGGGAGUCAAAAUCCUGAACGAGAGACUAGGUACAAAUGCAGCAGAGGAAAAACCCUAGCUGUGCUUCUCACCUGCAGGUGCCAUUUCUCGUCAUCGCGAUAAAAAAAAAAAAGAUAACGAAGGAGUCAAAUUCUCUUCAUUUUAACUCUACUUUCAAUCGAGACCACUAAAUCAAUCUUUUAAGAAAGCAAAAUUCUCAAUUAGAAAGCGAACUAAUUUAAAGACUUUCAUAUUCUCCUUAUAGAAUUUUUGCCCUUGAGUUUAGCAAAUUGUGCGCCUGCAUUUUUUUCAAUUUAUUUGCACUAUGAGUGUGUAUAGUUCGAAGUCAGAAUCGAUUUCAGAAUCAGAAUAAGAAUAAGCAUAAAACGGAAUCAGAUUUGGCUCGCCUUGGUUCACCACCUGAAUCGGAAUCGGAAUAAAUCAUUCCUAUUGUCGAGAUUUGGUUCAGAUAGAUAUCAGCAAUGCAAUCAAAUUAAUAUGUCAAUUUUAUCUUUAUAAUAUAUUAGUUUAAAUUCAAACUAAAAAUUAAAUAUUAAAAAUUUAUGUCAAAAUUUUAAAGCGAUUUCAAAAUUUUAAAUGUAUUUAUAAAAAAUUAAAAUUUGAAAUUGAACGAAUAAUUCAAAAUAUAAAACUAAAUUUUAAUUUAUUCAAAUUCAAACUUAAAAUUAUAAUUUAAAUUUCAGUUUGAAUUCAUAAAUUUAAUUUAAAUUUUAAAUAAAAUUUGAAUACAAUUUUAGAUUUUAAAUUAAAUUUAAAUUAAAAUUUAUAAAUUAGAUUCGAAAUGCUUGAUUGAAUUUUAAUUUUAAUUUAUAAAUAUAAUUUUUAAACUUAAACUCAUGUUUUAAUUAAAAAAUAAGCUUAAAAAAAUUAAAUUUAAUCCGAACAUAUUCAUUCCAUCCGGAUUCAAUUUUCAAUCUAAGCUAAAAUAUCAGAUUGGAAUAAGGGAUAAUUGGAGGGAUUCCCAUUUACUCGAGAAUCAGAAUUAGGAUGAAAAUUUCGCAUAUCAAAUACGGAGAAACGGACUUGUCCAUUCUGAUUCCGAUUCGGCGUAAAAAAGAAACGAACUAAACACGCUCUACGUUUUACAGUUGAUAGUGAGUUAUACUAUGUAUCAAACCUAAGAGGUUUGUAAUAUGUUAGUUGUAUUAGAAGGCGAGAAUCCUUAUAUUGAAUCUUUGUUACUUGAUUAGAGUUUUAAAUAUUACUAUGCAUUGUGGUUUUAUUAAUGAUAGUCUUGUUGUAACGCUCUAAUAAUCUCACAUCAGAUGAGAAAACGAUUCUUAUUGGAUUAUUGAGGCCUCAUACGUUAGUAGUAGUAAUUGGGUUUAAACAUUUUGAGUCGAUAGUGUGAAUCAACUGGUUAUUAUUGCUAGCGGCUGGGUCGUUACAAUUAGUAUUAAAGUCGAAUACCAGCCGGAAGUGUGAGAGCUUAAGUGUUAUGUGGAGGAAAGUGCUACACCAAUAAAUUUGGUGGGAACCAUCUCUUGAACUGAUAGGAGCUACCUCUAAAAUCUCACAUUGCCUCCUAUCUUUUGAACCCGUAGGAGCCACCUAUAGAAUCUCACAUUGGCUGAUAAUUCUGAUUUGUAUGUUUGUAAUCUGGAUUUGGACCUGACGAGCCCUACGAGUCCAACGUCGAAUCAGGUCCACAUCAGAUAGAAAAAUGAUUCUAAUUGGAUUAUAUGAAGCCUCAUAUGUUACUAAUAAUAAUUGCGCUUAAAUAUUUUGGACUAGUAGUUUGGGCUCAACGAAUUAUUAUUGGUAGCGGGUCGGAUAGUUAUACUUAUAAUGUAAUUAUUUUUUUUCUUUUUUUUUUUAAUUUUUUGGAUAUAUUAUAUACUAUAUAUAGUAUAUAUAUACUAUAUAUUAUAAUAUUACUAUAUAUAUGAAACUUAUCUGAACUAUAAACCAUCUAAAUUUGGCUACCCAAUUUUUCGAAAUUUUGACUUUAUCAUCUAAUUUUUCGGUUUGUUUAAUUUAAAUCAGUCAAUAGUACUUUCAUUUUGAAAUUUAAAUACAUUGUUUAUCUUUAAUAAUUUAGUUAGUAUAUUUCAUACAAUUCUUACAACUAUAAAUUUAUUAAAGCAAGUAAUUAGCUUAAAUUUUGAAGUCAAAGUAUCGUCUCUGACUUUAAAUCAAAUAAAUUGAAAAAUUAAGUAGUAAAAUUAAAAUUUUAAAGGAAAUGAAUAGCCAAAUCAAAUAAUCCAUAGUUCAAAUAAGGUCUAUACAUUUUUAUUUUUAUUUUUAUUUAGAUAUCGAUAAUGGGAAUGCACAUUUACUAAACCAUCGACGCGAUGAAAAUUUCAGGAAACAAAAAAACUAUUUCUGCUUCCUAAUUUUAGAUUGUUUUUUUAAUAAUUUAAUCAAUAUCAAUAUGUUCAACUCUAAAGAGAAAUUGUAUUAAAGUAAAUUAGAUUAUAGAGAUAUACUAAAAUAAGAUAAAAUUGUGUUUUAAGCAAGAAAAAAUUAUUUGGAUUAAAUAACUCUAAUAUUCUGUCUCUAUUUAGAUUAAACUGCUAUGAAUAUAUAAAUUCCAUAGUAGAUUUCAUCUAUAACUAUUUAACACCAAAAAAAUAGCAUUCAAGGUAUGUUUUGCAUUUUCUUUUAAAAUUCUUCUUCAAAUAAUUAUCCAUUUUUUUUACAUUACAUUUUUUCUGUAUUUUUCUAUUAUGUUUUUAACAAUCAUCUUUUUUCGGCUAAAUAUUAUGUAAAAUAUUUAUUUUCAUUAUUUUUAUUUUUAAAUUAUUAUUGCUUGGUAAAAGAUAAUUAACUUUUUACUUUUUUUUUACUGCAUAUGUGUUCGGAAUAAAUAUAAAUUCUCUCGUAGUUUCUAAUAAAAUGAGAAACACCACCACAUCAUGAUCAUGGAUAGGGGUGUACACAGUUUGGUCCCAAACCAUAAACCAACCCGAACCGAACCAAAUAAAACUAUUUAGUUCGGUUUACAUAAUUUUCACUUCAGUUCGGUUUUCAAAUUUACUAAAAGUCAAUUUUUGAUUUCAGUUUGGUUUGAACAUACCUCUUUAACUGAACUGCAGCGAAAACCAAAUAGUAAUAAUUUAUAUAUUUUUUAUUUAAAAUAAUUUAUUAAAAUUUCAUAUUUAUGAUUAAAUUUUGAUCAUGUAUCAACACAUUUUGAGCAAUUCUAUGUUUAUAAUUAAAUUUUGUGUGUGAUUUUCCAAGGAUUCAAGAAUCUUAAAUUAUAAAUUAAUUCACAAGAAAAAGAAAAAAAAAAUUUAUAAAACCUAAUCAAACAAUUUGGUUUGGUUUGGGUCACUUGUGAGCAUAAAUCGGUUUGGUUCCGUUGUAAUUUUUUUUUUCAAGCCGAAAAGUUCAGUUUGUUUUGGAGAUUUGACUUAAAAACUGAAGAAAACCAAACCGAGUAAAACCCUAAUUAUGGGCCUCCGUAAUUUGCAUAAAAAGCCUUUGGUCUCAAUUACCCAAUUAAGCCCAAAGUCAGUAUGAAUCCAAUCCAAUAAAAUAAUCCCACUGUUUCACACCAGAUAGAACAAUUUUUUCCGCAGACCUAGAUCCCCGUAGGGAUCUGCCCAGCAUAGGGCAGGGAAGUAGAGCAUUUUGUCCCAGCAGGGACGAGAAUUAUCGCUACCUGCUGGGAUGCGCAAGAUGGGAAUACUAUUCCACGCCCCGCAAAAUAUAUAAUAUAUUAUUAUAAAUAGAGCUGGAAAGCUAUCGGUAAUAAACGGACUUCGUUGUCAUUUAUUUGUUUUCGAUGAUAAAGCCUCCAAAUUGACGAUCGGCACCGUUGAAUAUGAUCUAUACUAUUUGAAAUAUUUAGAAACCAAAUUUUGAAUCUUUUUGACAUCAUUGACCUAAUGAUCAAAGGAUUUCAAAAUUUGUAAUUUUAAUGGUUGAUAUCUGGGACGUUUUCUUAUUUAACGGUAUAAAGAUAUUCAAAUCAAUUGAAUUUUGGUUAGAAAAUUUUUUAAACUAUUUAGAACAAGAUCUAUAGUCUCAAUCUCAAUCUUUUUUUUUUUGAAAUACAAUAUUCUUAUCAUCACUUUUUAAAGAAUAUUCAUUUUCAACCGUUCAUUUUGUGUCCACUUGAUAGGCAAGAGAACAAUAUCGAAAAAGUAUGAAAUUUAGUUUUUAGAUGCUUCAAAUGGUAUAGACCAUGUUCAACGGUGUCGAUCGUCGAUUUAGAGGCUCCAUCAUCGAAAACAAAUGGUUGGCAACGGAGCUCAUUUGCAACCGAUAGCAUUCUAGCUCAACUCAUAUUAUUAUAUAGUUAUUAAUUUAUUUAUACUUUUAGAUUACCAACUUUGAUUCUUUUUAAUAUUUGUCAAUUUACUAAAAUAUGUUAAGAUAAUUGUUUUUUAAACAAUAUAUUAAUUAAGUAAUAUUUAAUUGCUUUACAUUCUUAAUAUGACAUGUAAUAUUUAAUAAUUUGACAAUGCAUAUAAAAUAAACUUAGUAAUUAGACAAAAUUUAAAUGGAUUUGAACUAAAAUUUUUAUUUUAUUUUAUUUUAAAUAAAAAAUUAAUUGAGUAUAAUGUUUUAUAAAUCCACAAGUCUCUUUAGGUAGGGAUGCAAACGGGGUGAAUUCGAAGGCAGAAGUGUUCUCCUACCUCCCGCCCCGUUUUCUUGCCAGAUUGUAACGGAUUCAAGACAGGCCGUUUUUUUUAUUUGUUACUCUUAUUCUUGGUACUCGCUUACUGCCCUAUUCAGAAUCAAAAUAAUUGAUUUUCAAUGUAUUAUAUUUGAUGGUUAAUUGCGUAUAACUUCUUGUAAAUAUUUUGAAUAGCAAAUAUAUUCAUAUAAAGUUUAACUUUUUAUAUUUAUUCCUAUAAAAGUCCUAACGUUUUCAAAUAUACCCUGACUGUUAGAAUCCGUCAGAUAAAUAUAGUUAACUAUAGAUAAAAUACUUACUCUGAUUAGUGAAUGAGAUAAAUUGACUUUUUUUUCCUCUCUUAUAUUAUUUAUGAUGGCAAAAAAGAAGAAAGUGAUCGUUGGAGAUUUUUGGAAGGACAUUUUUAUAUAAUUUUAACAGUUGAAACUCUUGAAAUAAACAGUACUCUAACGGUAACAAAUCAGAGAGAUAAAUAUGAAUAUUACUAGAUUUUUGUAAGAAUAAACAUAAAAAGUUGAACUUUGUAGGAAUAUAUUUACUAUUUGAUAUAUAUGUUUAGAGAAAAUUAUAUGAAAGUAACAUUAUAUUCGAAAGUGAAUCAACCAACGCUGUCUCUAUCCUACAGAAGGUUGAAAAAACCUCAUGGAAAGUGUAUAAUAUAGUUUGCUGAUUGUUUUAGCCUUCUUUCUACUUUUACAAACAUUCUGAAGUUCGAAUGUAACAGAGCCGUGGACGCUUUUGCUGCCUUUGGUCGUCAAGCUGGGGCAGGGCAUCCUUUUUGGAGUUCAGAAAGCAUACAACAAUGACGGCAAUCCAGUUCGCGCCCACCCUUCCAUCUGAUGGAGAGGUGAUAAUUCAGCUCGCUGUGCGCGAACUAGCUUGUGUUCGACUCGAAAUAAGUUCGAAAUCGAAUUACUUGUUUAGUUAACAAGUCGAAUAUGAGCAUACAACAAUGAUGGCAAUCCAGCACAUGCUCACCCUCCCCUCUGAUGUAGGGGUGACAAUCUAUGUGAAAUUAAGCAGUCAUCUCUAUGUAAANCCUUCUGAAAGUGGAAGAAGGAGCUGGGAAAGCAAGAGGGAAGAACGACUGGUUCAACGGGGUAAUCAACUCGAAGAGCAGCAGGUCAAGGAGAGCGGAGCGGGUCUUGAGAGUUGUGUUUUAAUUGGAAGGGGCCGAAUCAGCAGCUGUUCGAUAUGGAUUGAGUUGUUUACUUGGAUGUAGGGGUGACAAUUCAGCUCGCCGUUCGCGAGCCAGUUCAUGUUCGACUCGAAAUCGAGUUACUCGUUUAGUAAACAAGCCGAAUAUGAGCUGAAUUUUUUAGCUCGUUUAAUAAACGAGACGGACACGAGUUGGAAUCAGCUCGCUCAUGUUUGACUAAAUAAUAACUCAAAUACAUAUAUUUUAUAUUUAUAUAUAAAUAAAUAAUUAUAUUUUAAUUUUUUUUCGCUUAUUAUAUAUGAACUAAUUGGUGCUCAGCUCGGUAAAUUCACACUAAUGGCGGUGCCCAUGUUGCCAUCACAUCUUUCUUUUGAUUUUGGAAAUGGAUUAUCCAUUUGACUUUGCGGCCUCCAAAUGGGGCAUCCGUGUAUAGAAAUUAUAAUAAUUAUAUUUAUAUUUAUGUAAGUUAAAAUAUGUGUAUAGAAAUUCUACACUGUCACACUUGCACCACGUCAUCAAUAACAAGCCAAUCACAUUCUUUCUUUUCAAACAAAAGUAUAAUAAAAUAUUUUUUUACAAUCAUGAUGGGACAUAUAUUUCUAAAAUGAUACAUUUGAUUGAUUUGUUACGCCACAUCACCAAUAUACCGGUUACAUUUUAGAAUUUUUCCUAAUUUAUAGGCCCACCUUUCAGCAAUCUUUUUGUAAUAUACAAU